rnacentral:piRNA from 1 species
UGGUGUUAAUUCCACCUACAUGGGACAGU